rnacentral:rRNA from 1 species
GACAUAGGUGGCAAACGUUAUCCGGAAUUAUUGGGCGUAAAGAGUGCGUAGGUGGUUUAAUAAGUUAGUAGUGGUAAAUUGAGGCUCAACCUCAUGGAAAUUACUAAUACUAUUAACUAGAGGAUCGGAGGGGUUAACGGAAUUCUAUGUGUAGCGGUAAAAUGCUCAAAUAUAUAGAGGAACACCAAUUGGCGAAGGCAGUUAACUAUUCGAUUCCGACUGUUGAGGC